CGCCAGACUCCUACGGGAGGCAGCAGUGGGGGAUAUUGCACAAUGGGGGGAACCCUGAUGCAGCGACGCCGCGUGGGUGAAGAAGCGCCUCGGCGCGUAAAGCCCUGUCAGCAGGGAAGAAAAUGACGGUACCUGAAGAAGAAGCCCCGGCUAACUACGUGCCAGCAGCCGCGGUAAUACGUAGGGGGCAAGCGUUAUCCGGAUUUACUGGGUGUAAAGGGAGCGUAGACGGAAAGGCAAGUCAGAAGUGAAAACCCAAGGCUCAACCAUGGGACUGCCUUUGAAACUGUCAAACUAGAGUACGGGAGAGGUAAGAGGAAUUCCUAGUGUAGCGGUGAAAUGCGUAGAGAUCGGGAGGAACACCAGUGGCGAAGGCGGCCUGCUGGGCUUUAACUGACACUCAGGCACGAAAGCAUGGGUAGCAAACAGGAUUAGAUACCCCCGUAA
rnacentral:rRNA from 1 species